rnacentral:lncRNA from 1 species
UAAGCGAUUAGGCACUGAGAGUAGCAGAAAUCCUGCAAAGCUUUAUAGUUCACUAGGCAUUUGCCUUUGUUGGUUCUCUGAGUGAUGUCUUGAUUUGAGUAGCUAGAAUUUUCCCUGAAUCUACUAGAAGGGGUAUCAGUAUUUUCAGGUAACAAAGUCUGUUAGCACAACAAAAAUUUCAGACCAAUAUCUUACUGUAUUGGGGUUGGGUUUUUUUUUCCUUGUUUGUUUUGUUUUAAUUUUUAUUAAUUUCAGCUGCUUUCAUUUUGGAAAAUCUUAUUGCUAUUGUGUGUACUUCAGUAUACCAGCAAACACUGUUACCCGUUAACACAUUGUCCACAAAUGCCUCUAGAGAAGAAAUUGUUGCACCUUAUGUAUAUCUCAAGCAAACCAAAAUAUGAUGCUUUUCUGCUUUGUUUAUUCUGAAUAUGUUGUAUCAUACUUUACUGAACCCAUUUUAACUUAGCUAAAGCUAUCGAUAUUUAUGCAUUUCACAUUAUUUUCUGGAUCUGAACCUGUGUAUAAAUCUUUCUUUAAAAAAAAAAAAAAAAAGAGAAAAGAAAAGCAUUUACCGUAGUCGUCCUCUGUGACUUAUCCAUGGGAGGGGGGAAUCUUGUCUCAAGUGUAAAAUGCAGUACUGUCCCAGUUUUCCUUGGCUUUUAUUUAUUUAGUGAUCUUUGAUAUUUCAUAUGUAGUUUUGAGGUAUACAAAAUACAUUGUCGUAGCCGAAGCUACAGAUCUAAGCAGCUGGGAGAAAAUUACUGUAAUGUUGUCUUCAUUGUUCUAGUACUGUAUACAAAUAUGGGAAAAAUGUUCUGCAGAACAUUUGAGAUGCAGAUUCUUGUCCCCACAGUAGGUUAUUUUCCAGAUAUUAGACCAAAUCAAUCAAAACUCAAUGAUCUUAAAGGUCUUUCCUGAACUAAAUGAUUCUAUGAUUCUAAAAACAUCUAUGGAGAUUACUUAAUGCUCUGCUUAUGGCAGGAACUACCCCUUGAAUGUGCUGUGAUUUCAGAAAUAGAAUAUAUUUAUUAAAGAUGACUGAAUGCUCUUUUAUACUAAUACAAUAUUCCAAAGUCAUGAGCAAGAGACUUCUUGGUAGUUUGGGUUUCUGUUUUAUAGCAUUGGUGCAUGACUUUUGAAAUUAAAAUGGUAAGUGCUGUUGGAGAGGGGCACAGGAACAAGGGACUGGUAGAAGCCUGUGAACUUGUGGUGUUUAAAUUCCAGCUUUGGUAUUUAUUAUUUGGGUGAAAGCUGCCUUUGUAGCACAAGGAUAAAGAGCACUUUGCAGUUUGUAUCAAGUAGAAACCCAAGAGAGUUGUAACUCACAUCAGAAUGAGUGGAUGCCUUAUAGUUUGGAUGCUAUUUUUUGGAACAGGAUAUUAAAUUGAAGCCGUUUUAAUUUCCACUGCCUGCUUAGCUACUAUACAGAUACAGAACAGACAGAAGGCAACAGCUGUAGACGUGGGGCAGCUAAGAGAGGAUGAAAGAAAACGUGGCCUUUGUUCUCAGUAUGGCAAAGUAAUGGCAACAAAGAGGAAUUAAGGAAAAAAGAUAGAUGUAUAUAUAUGUGUGUGUGUAUGUGUGCAUGUGUGUGUGUGCCUGGGUGUGUACAUUCUGCAAAAAAACCCAAACUGUAGGAAAAAGAAAAACAUGAUGGGUCUACAAGAGACUGUAAUGGAUAUUGACCCUUUGAGCGCACUCCCUUUUUUUGAAUGCUGAGUCUAAUAUGGCUACCUCUCCUAAAAGACUACUUUUGUUAACUUCCUUUUGCUUUCAGACUUGAUCGUGUAAACCUUUCAGCCAUUGAUACCAUUUGUAUAUCGCUGUGUGCUUUACUUUCUCAGAGCAACGUUUAUAUAGAGCAGACAACGCAAAGACUGAAUAUACAGUGGUAGCCAAACUAUGUUGCUGGAGCAUUUUUGUUUAACCUCUGCCAUGGUCGUAUGGAUUGCAGGACGUGGGCAGUGUAGGUAGUUGGUUCAGUGAGGUCAGUUUUUGUAGCAGCAGAAAAUGCACUUCUUGUUGGAGGGGUGGACUUCAGAUAUUGCCAGAGGUGACGCAGUAAGCCAAAUGCUGCUCUUGAAAGUUAUGCUGAAGUUUACGUUUGCAAUCCUGAUUUCACAAGAAAACGUAACUUGUGUGUUGUAUACCAUACAUUAUCCAUUAGAUGCUGUUUGUUUGCCGUGCUUGUUUGGUAGAUUGUAGAGCUCCUAAGUAUCUUUGCCAUGUUUUGUAAUAUUUGUGGCAUUCUCCUUACCUUGUACAUAUUAUGGAACUGUCACCUACAGCUGCCAGGAUGCUGAGGCACUUCAGGACCCUGAGUGCCAUGAACGAGUGAUUUAGGCUGUGAAAGAGUUACUUGCCUUUUCCCCUGAAUUCCCCAAUAAAAAAUAAAUAAUGAAAAAAA